UUCAAGGCCUACUCAUUCCAUGAAAUUCAGUUCAAAAGUCAUAAUGUUGAUGUUGAAUACAAGGCUGAAAAAAAUUUCGGUCCAAGUAGGCCUUCUUAAAGUAGCUACAAUACAAGUAUAUAUACACAUUUAUACAACUAACAUAAUACAAUUACCUCACAAUGCUGAGUACGUUAAACAGACCCUUACACAGUUUGGAGCUCAUCCUUCUGGGAUCAAGGAUUUCUGGAGUUUAAAGUGGAAUGGAAGAGCAUAAGCGGUGGCGGUUGAAGCAAGAUUUCCUACACAGGAAAAGACUUAGCAGUUUACCCCCUCGUAGUGUCAUAAUUUUUCGGCUCGUCCGGAGGAAUCAUCACUCGAUCUACGUCCAACCUCCGCUGAGACCUUGCAUGCAGUUCGGUGAUAUGUCUUCAAGGCAGCAAUGACGACUGGAGACUGCGCAUGAUUUUAUUUUUAGGAAAGAACUACCUUCCUUUUGUUAAAAGUGUCAUAAAGAAUUAUCUAUUGACACUGACCUAGAAGACGGCACCACUCCCAUCUAAUGAAUAUGUAUCUCUCUCCAAUCAACAAUAUUUAUUAAUAUUAAUAACAAUAUUAUUAAUAUUUAUUCAAUAUUGAAAUUUACAAAAGUUACUAGCGUAUAUCACUUUAUUUAAAGCGUUUUAUAUCAGAGACCAUGCUAAAUCCUUAAAUUAUAUUUAUCUUAAGAUCUUCGAUGUUGUAGCUAGACUCUCUCCCUGGAGAGAUGAUGGUCAAGUACAUCUUUACCAGAAAAAAAUAAACUUCAUUUAAGACUUAUGGGAA